UUACUACCCUGGGGGGGCUUGGAAAAGCUGAGAGAGACGUCUAGUCUUGACCCUUAUUACUUGAUCUAGGUAAUGCUAGCGAAAGGAAGAGGUAUAGCGACUGA
rnacentral:ncRNA from 2 species